rnacentral:lncRNA from 1 species
GAGCACCUACGGUGCUUCUACCCUUAUGAUUUAAAAGCUAUGUACUCUAUUUUCCCUUUUAUUAUUGAAUAAAUAAAACCUUCAAGGUUCUUUGCAUACCUACUGCCUUACUGUUCCUUUGCCCGAGCUGUUCCUAACGCUCGGGGGCUGUCCGACUUGUUUGAUAGACCACUCGCUCUCAAGCUCAGGGGCUUCCCCCAGGCACCGACCUCUAGGUCUCGCAUCCUUCUUCUCCCCCUCUCGAAGCAAUACGACUAACUCGUGUGGUCGGCGUUCUAGCUCGUGAAACCUAGACAACCUUGAGUUCACCC